rnacentral:snRNA from 1 species
GCGCUUGCUUCGGCAGCACAGACACUAAACCGGAGCAAGACAGAGGAGAGAGGCGUGGCCCUGUGCAAGGAUGGCGUACAAAUCCAUGAAGUGCCCCAUAUUACA